rnacentral:rRNA from 1 species
CGUGGGUAACCUACCCAUCAGAGGGGGAUAACACUUGGAAACAGGUGCUAAUACCGCAUAACAGUUUAUGCCGCAUGGCAUAAGAGUGAAAGGCGCUUUCGGGUGUCGCUGACGGAUGGACCCGCGGUGCAUUAGCUAGUUGGUGAGGUAACGGCUCACCAAGGCCACGAUGCAUAGCCGACCUGAGAGGGUGAUCGGCCACACUGGGACUGAGACACGGCCCAG